UUUAAUAUGGCAGAAUAGUGCACUGAAUUUAAACUUCAAUCAUAAAGAUCCAAUCUUUUAUUAAAU
rnacentral:tRNA from 1 species